rnacentral:rRNA from 1 species
UACGGGGGGGGCAAACGUUGUUCGGAAUUACUGGGCGUAAAGGGCGCGUAGGCGGCCAACUAAGUCGGAUGUGAAAUCCCCAGGCUCAACUUGGGAACUGCAUCCGAUACUGGUCGGCUUGAAUCCGGGAGAGGGAUGCAGAAUUCCAGGUGUAGCGGUGAAAUGCGUAGAUAUCUGGAGGAACACCGGUGGCGAAGGCGGCAUCCUGGACCGGUAUUGACGCUGAGGCGCGAAAGCUAGGGGAGCAAACGGG